UUUUUGGAAUAUCGGGUGUCUGCCAUCCUCCUCCGGCUGUUCUCCUUCACAGCUGUCGGCAGACACCGCACAGGCGAUAUUCCGCUUCGUGUGCAAAAGAGCCCGUC
rfam:Faecalibacterium prausnitzii L2/6 draft genome.